rnacentral:tRNA from 6 species
GCGGGUGUAGCUCAGUGGUAGAGCACAACCUUGCCAAGGUUGGGGUCGAGGGUUCGAAUCCCUUCACCCGCUCCA